AGAAUCAACGCUGGCGGCGUGCCUAACACAUGCAAGUCGAACGAGAAAGUGGAGCAAUCCAUGAGUAAAGUGGCGACCGGGUGAGUAACACGUGACUAACCUACCUUCGAGUGGGGGAUAACCUCGGGAAACCGAGGCUAAUACCGCAUAACAUCGCAAGAUCAAAGCAGCAAUGCGCUGGAAGAGGGGGUCGCGGCUGAUUAGCUAGUUGGUGGGGUAACGGCCCACCAAGGCGAAGAUCGGUA
rnacentral:rRNA from 1 species